rnacentral:rRNA from 1 species
CCAAUAGCGUAUAUUAAAGUUGUUGCAGUUAAAAAGCUCGUAGUUGAAUUUCGGGGUUAGUAGGUUGGUCAUGCCUCUGGUAUGUACUGGUCUCACUGAUUCCUCCUUCCUGAUGAGCCGUAAUGCCAUUAAUUUGGUGUGGUGGGGAAUCAGGACUGUUACUUUGAAAAAAUUAGAGUGUUUAAAGCAGGCUCGCGCUUGAAUACAUUAGCAUGGAAUAAUGAAAUAGGACGUUGACCCUAUUUUGUUGGUUUCUAGGAUUGACGUAAUGAUUAAUAGGGAUAGUUGGGGGCAUUAGUAUUCAAUUGUCAGAGGUGAAAUUCUUGGAUUUAUUGAAGACUAACUACUGCGAAAGCAUUUGCCAAGGAUGUUUUCAUUAAUCAAGAACGAAAGUUAGGGGAUCGAAGACGAUCAGAUACCGUCGUAGUCUUAACCAUAAACUAUGCCGACUAGGGAUCGGAUGAUGUUAAUUUUUUAAUGACUCAUUCGGCGCCUUACG